GGGGAAUUUUGGACAAUGGGGGCAACCCUGAUCCAGCCAUGCCGCGUGAGUGAAGAAGGCCUUCGGGUUGUAAAGCUCUUUCGGACGGAAAGAAAACGGAUGGGUUAAUACCCUGUUCGGAUGACGGUACCGUCAUAAGAAGCACCGGCUAACUACGUGCCAGCAGCCGCGGUAAUACGUAGGGUGCGAGCGUUAAUCGGAAUUACUGGGCGUAAAGCGUGCGUAGGCGGUUUAUCAAGUCAGGGGUGAAAGGCUACGGCUCAACCGUAGUGAGCCUCUGAAACUGGUGAACUUGAGUGUAGGAGAGGAAAGUGGAAUUCCCAGUGUAGCGGUGAAAUGCGUAGAUAUUGGGAGGAACACCAGUGGCGAAGGCGACUUUCUGGACUACAACUGACGCUGAGGCACGAAAGCGUGGGGAGCAAACA
rnacentral:rRNA from 1 species